AACAUUUAGGAGAAAGAAAUGAGAUCACAAGAGAAAGAUUCAUCCUUGAGACUAUGGAACCUCAUUUAAAUAUUCCAGGCACUGGAGCUGGAUCCAACCUCAUGUGAACUACAAAAGCAUAUGAAACAGAGGACUGUGAAGUCAUCUAGACUGUAUUCUUGUCCUAAGGCAGGAUCAACUGCAUCGAGCCCAUUUCUAUCAGACGUUUAUCUGUCUUGCUUUUUAAAAUGUCCACUGAUGGAAACUCCACAGUCUAUUAUAAAGUGAUCCCUUCCAGUGCGUCAGAUAGUUUCCUUGGGUCUAAACUACAUCACCCUUGAGAGACUUACGUCUGCUGCUAUCCACAGAGAAACAAGAUUGCUUUAUUUUCUCCUUCUCUGCAGUGAUGUGAAACAAGGCUUGUUUUCCUCUGGACUCUGUUCAGUAGGUCAAAAUCCUCCUUUAAUUCUCAGAUCCCAAACAGGACACUCAAUUACAGUCAAGACCUUAUCAAAGCUGGAGCGGACGAUAAUUCUGCAUACUACAGAUGGUGGUCCCAUUUAUAUCUUCUAAUUCUAAGACAAUGUUGCUUUUU